GAUGAACGCUGGCGGCGUGCCUAAUACAUGCAAGUCGAACGAACAGAUUAGGCGCUUGCUCGGUGGACGGUAGACGGGGACGUGAGAGCAAGUCACGGACCCCUAAGUUAGAUGUCUGGUAGCGCGUGGUAACACAGGAGCGCAUACGCUAUAACAUCUAAAAUGGGAUGGUUCCAUGAUGAAUGAUUGUUAGGCGAUCAUUCAUCGAUGACCUGGCGCCUUAUUAGCUAGUUGGUAAGGGAACGGCUUACCAAGGCGACGAUACGUAGCAGACCUGAGAGGGUGACCGGCCACACUGGAACUGAGACACGGCCCAGACUCCUACGGGAGGCAGCAGUGGGGAAUUUUGGGCAAUGGGCGAAAGCCUGACGGAGCAACGCCGCGUGAGUGAUGAAGGGUUUCGGCUCGUAAAACUCUUUUGUUAGGGAAGAACCGAGUUGGAAUUAAAAGUUCACCUCUUGACGGUACCUGAUCAGAAAGCCACGGCUAACUACGUG
rnacentral:rRNA from 1 species